UACGUAGGGCGCAAGCGUUGUCCGGAAUUAUUGGGCGUAAAGAGCUCGUAGGCGGUUUGUCGCGUCUGCUGUGAAAACCUAAGGCUCAACCUUGGGCUUGCAGUGGGUACGGGCAGACUAGAGUGCGGUAGGGGUGACUGGAAUUCCUGGUGUAGCGGUGGAAUGCGCAGAUAUCAGGAGGAACACCGAUGGCGAAGGCAGGUCACUGGGCCGCAACUG
rnacentral:rRNA from 1 species